rnacentral:rRNA from 1 species
GAUGAACGCUGGCGGCGUGCCUAAUACAUGCAAGUCGAGCGAACAGACGAGGAGCUUGCUCCUCUGACGUUAGCGGCGGACGGGUGAGUAACACGUGGAUAACCUACCUAUAAGACUGGGAUAACUUCGGGAAACCGGAGCUAAUACCGGAUAAUAUAUUGAACCGCAUGGUUCAAUAGUGAAAGACGGUUUUGCUGUCACUUAUAGAUGGAUCCGCGUCGCAUAAGCUAGUUGGUAAGGUAACGGCUUACCAAGGCGACGAUGCGUAGCCGACCUGAGAGGGUGAUCGGCCACACUGGAACUGAGACACGGUCCAGACUCCUACGGGAGGCAGCAGUGGGGAAUCUUCGGCAAUGGGCGAAAGCCUGACGGAGCAACGCCGCGUGGGUGAUGAAGGUCUUCGGAUCGUAAAACUCUGUUAUUGGGGAAGAACAAAUGUGUAAGUAACUAUGCACGUCUUGACGGUACCUAAUCAGAAAGCCACGGCUAACUACGUG